CGCCAUUAUGAGAGGGAU
rnacentral:snRNA from 1 species